rnacentral:rRNA from 1 species
GACGAACGCUGGCGGCGUGCUUAACACAUGCAAGUCGAACGGAAAGGCCCUGCUUUUGCGGGGUGCACGAGUGGCGAACGGGUGAGUAACACGUGAGUAACCUGCACUUGACUUUGGGAUAACUUCAGGAAACUGGGGCUAAUACCGGAUAGGAGAUCCUGCUGCAUGGUGGGGGUUGGAAAGUUUCGGCGGUUGGGGAUGGAUUCGCGGCUUAUGCGCUUGAUGGUGGGGUAGUGGCUUACCAAGGCUUUGACGGGUAGCCGGCCUUAGAGGGUGACCGGGCACAUUGGUCCUGCGGUACGGCCCAGUCUCCUACGGGAGGCAGCAGUGGGGAAUAUUGCACAAUGGGCGGAAGCCUGAUGCAGCAACGCCGCGUGCGUGAUGCCGGCCUUCGGGGUGUAAACCACUUUCGCCUGUGACGAGGCGUGAGUGACGGUAAUGGGUAAAGAAGCAACGGCUAACUACGUG